rnacentral:rRNA from 1 species
CGAUCUUAGCCUAGUCUGACCAAGCAAAAGACUUUAAGUUUGCCCCCCCGAAACUAAGUGAGCUACUUAAGAAUAGCUUCCUAGAGCCAACCCCUCUCUGUCGCAAAAGAGUGGGACAAUUUUUAAGUAGAGGCGAUAAACCAACCGAACUCAGAGAUAGCUGGUUUUUUAAGAAAUGAAUUUUAGUUCAGCCCUAAGCCUCAAAACUAAACAGAAAGUUUACUUAGACUUAGGAGUUAUUCAGAUAAGGCACAGCUUAUCUGAAACAGGAUACAACCUGCAUUAUUGGGUAAGAUAUUGAAUUGAGAUUAAGUAGGCCUAAAAGCAGCCACCUUUAAAAUAGCGUCAAAGCUUAAUUUGAUAAUUUUAUUAAUUUCCUAAACUACCUCUAACCCAUUUUUUCUAUUAAAAAACUCCAUAAAACUAUGGAAAUUAUUAUGCUAGAACGAGUAACAAGAAAAAGAAUUUCUCCAAAAUGUAAGCUUAAGCCACAAUAGACACCCUACUGGCAGUUAACGUUUAUAAAUAAUUUGUAGUAACAUCAACAAGAAAACUCUAUAUUUUUUUACGUCAAUCUUACACUAGAACAUUUAUGGAAAGAUUAAAAAAAGAGGAAGGAACUCGGCAAAUAUAAAUCCCGCCUGUAUUU